rnacentral:rRNA from 1 species
UACGUAGGGAGCAAGCGUUGUCCGGAAUUACUGGGCGUAAAGGGCUCGUAGGUGGCCAACUAAGUCAGACGUGAAAUCCCUCAGCUUAACUGGGGAACUGCGUCUGAUACUGGAUGGCUUGAGUUUGGGAGAGGGAUGCGGAAUUCCAGGUGUAGCGGUGAAAUGCGUAGAUAUCUGGAGGAACACCGGUGGCGAAGGCGGCAUCCUGGACCAAUACUGACACUGAGGAGCGAAAGCCAGGGGAGCAAACGGG